AUGCUUCUUUGUGCCUUUUGUCACCUAAACCCCCAGAAUGCAUUGGGGCAAGGGAGUGAGGCGAUAAGUGUGAGGCAAAGAUGCAUUUGCUCCGCAGAAGUGGCCACGGUGCAGAUGUUGCAGGUUAUUUCCGUGAAGUUUCAUCAUGAUGCUGGGACACUGAACUCUGAAUUGUUCAUGCCGUUGAUUUCAAACCGUUAUUUGGCUAUCCUUGGAUCCUCAAACAGCCCAGCAAGAGCUUGUGCCUCUGUCCUAAAGACUUUAAGGCUUCCAGCUGUCAUUACUUUCUCUAAAACCAACCAAUGGACCAUUGAGAGCCAAGCCAGCACUAACCGGUAUUUUUGGACAGUGGAAGCUCUGAGUUGCCACCGAACGAGGGUAAACCUUUCCAAAAACACAGAGGAUAUUCUUAUUUUGUAUUGAGUCCUAAAUCUAUUGUUUGAUCUAAUUAUUCUGCCUCUAAGGCCCUAUUAUCCAGGCACUACUGAUGAAACCGAAGCGAAAAAAGGAGGCAGAGUGUGUCUCCUGGUUGUUUGAGACAUGCUAGGACAUCCAUAGCACAGAAAGAGAGAGAGAGAGAUAAAGAGCAAGAUAUAGAAAGAGAGUGAAUAAAAGAGUACUGAGUGAUUCAGUCACGUACAGCCCAGGCAUUAUCUAGCCAACAAUAAAAGAUUACAUCAUAUCAGCUGGCAUAAUUUCUUCAAGGUCUUUUAUUGAUUCUUUGAAUGGUGAGUGCAGCUGUUGAAAGUGUACAAAAGAAAGCCAUUGUAUUUACAGGAUCACAUCAGGAUUUUAUAGGCACACAGAAAUGAUUUGACGAUUCAGCUUUCAUUCGGAGGAUGAUCACAACUUUCAUGUGGCUUUGUAACAGGUACACAACACUCUAAUUAUGUUUAAUUCCUCUUUGCAUGCAAGAUGAGCCAGCACUCCUAAACUGAGAGCAAAAAUUUGACAAACUAGUGAGAAAAUACAUCACAGAUGAUUACACUCUCAUCUGUUGCUGUUACAAAUUCAAAGUAAAACAAGUAUUUUAAUUUAAUUUUAAAUUUAAACUAUCUGUGAAAUAAAUAUUGCAUUUGUCCCAAAUGGCACCCAUGUAGCUACAUUUUGGGUAGCAUAAUGAGAAAUAUACUAUUGGGUAGUAGUCCGCUGUGAAGUCUAGUGUGAAAUCAAGGGUGCAGUGGCGCAAAGAGGGUGCUGUUGAGCAUUCUUUUUAUAUAGUAAAAUGGCAAAAUUAGCAAAAUUUCGGCAAAAUUUAGCAGGCAACCAAGCAGCCAAAGAAACGAUGCAACAUAUUUGCAUGACUAACCAAUUCCUACAGAUAUUACUGGAAGCAAUGGUUAAAGUGACCAUGCCUGAAAGGGAUACUCCACCUCCAAAUGAAAAUGUUGUCAUUAAUCACUUACCCCCAUGUCAUUCCAAACCCUUAAAAGCUUUGUUCAUCUUCGAAACACAAUUUAAGAUAUCUAAUUGGAGUAGGGUGGAGUAAUUGUGUUGUGGCACAAAGUCCAGAAGUCCACAUGCAUAGUUUGGGAUGGACCAUAGUAUUGUUGUUGCCCUUAAAACUUCUGUGAGUAUCAGUGUGUUUGUGUUUGUUCCAACUGUCAAGGUACAGUCCUAUUGGUGAAAUUUUGUAGGCAAAAAGGGUCCACUGUCUGUUGUGAAUAGUAAUAGUAAUAGUAGCAAUAGUAUAGCAGCCAGCAAGCAAUAUGGCAAAUUCGUAUGACCAACUUGAACACGAGCGAAUUAUACAGGGCUAAUUUUCUCACCCUCAUGUGAAACUCAAUUACUGAAUUUUAUCUGUGAAAUUUUGCAGAGCAAUGGUACAUGUGUCCACAUCUUUAAAGUGUUUUAAAGAAAAGAUCACAAGUGCACAUGCACUAUUUAGGAAAGUCCCAUGUAUUGCUAUUGUCCUUAAAAUGUGAGUGAGUGUCCGUGCAUUCACGUCAACUGUAAUGGUGCGGCAUGAUAGGCUUAAUCUGUUGUGAAAUCGGCAUUGGGAAAUUCCCAAUUGCAGGAAUUCCAAUUAAAGUGACUGGUUUUUGUGUGCAAAAUUUCACAGAGCGAUGGUAAAUGUGACUGGACCUUAAGAAUCAAAACUCACUACUCAUUUUUGGAUGUGGUUAAGUGCAUAAUUUCUGCUCCACUAGUUGCAUCAAAAAGAACUGCAAUUACUUUUAGUGACACUAGUGAAAAAAGUUUAAAAUUAAUUGUUGUAAAUUGAAAUUGCACUGUGUAACAGGUUAAACCCAUCAAAGUCACUGACGAGUAAGAACAAGGUGGGCAGAGCUACUGAGGAGUGUAUUGAUACAUUCGGGGGUUUCUGAGUGACUUAGGACGAGGGGUCUCACACUCUGGACUGCACAAAUUAAGGUAAUUGUGAUUGGCUCAAGCCAGGGGUCGAUGAUUGAUUACUCAACUGAAGAGCAACAUCUGUUCUCUGUCAGUUGUCGACAGAUCACUUUGAUAACGUUUAAUUAUGCAGAGGAUCACUGGACCAGUUAGAUUACUGCUCAAUUACUCCAGAAAAUGGAAUUGAUAAGAGAGGACAAAAACAUUAAUGAUUUUGCGAGAUUGUUGCUAUGUGCAGAGAGAUUUAUUACCCUGCGACGAUGUAAAUUUGUAUGGGUUGGGUUUGUCCUCAGGGCACGACAAAUUCAUGCAAAAUACACCAGCAACUGGGGAUUAAUCUUUCAUAACAAACAGAAAAAUGGUUUCAUAUUUUUGAAUGUACUUGAAUAUGAAUGCUGGAAAUGAAUAAACAUGAUAUAUGUAAGAAAAACAAGAAUGUUUUAGUCAAAUCUAAUGCUCGAGAACUGAUUGUGAUGAAUACUGUAGAUGAAAAAUAUUUAACACCCACAUAAACCCUAACAGAAGUUGAAUUUAUGAAUUUAUGUAAGUCUUUUACAACUAUUAUGAACUACUUUAUUUUCCAAGGUUGCAUUCCUGUCCUUUGAAAUAACACAAAACUAGAGGAAGUGGAAAGAACUCUCUCUCUCUCACACACACACACACACACACACACACACACACACACACAGACACACACACACACACACAACCCUUCUGUGCAUCUCAGAGACUAUUGUGUUAUUUCGCUGCACUCAGGAUGAAUAAAGAACACAGAGGGGGACGCUGCCUGGUGGGACAGGAAGUAGAGACGCAGAGGGGAGCAACUUCACCUGCUGAUCACCUUCAGUCUGACCAGUGGAACUGGCCUCUGAUUGGACAUGUCUGAUAGCCCAUCCAAUUGAUGGGAAUGGGAGAGAGAGAAAGGAAGAGGAACCUGAUGACAGUUCCCUGCAGAGAUGAAACUCCUCAGAAGCGCUCAGAGAGAAGAUGACACUUCAUACCACAUCAUUUGAUAGGAUUCAGAGAGGGUUAUGGAUCCUGUCCAACACAGUCUCACUCCCUACUCGUCAAAUGUCUGACGCAUGGUCAAGGGACCCUGGCGUCACUUUUUAACGCACUGGGUAUACCUUUGGCGUCAUUUUUCAACGUGCAGGGUAGUCCGAUAGACUUCUAUAGAACUCAACAGUGUUGAAAUUUGACGUCUUGGGUCAGCACACCGCAACCCGUUGUCUGCCUUGUAUGGGUGGAGACUACAAUAAAUAAAAAUAAAAAGGAAUAGGCUACAAAAAAGGAUCUAUGCCAGGGCGAGCAAAUGGCGGCCCCCAGAUCAUUUUUAUCUGGCCCUCCAACUGGUUUUUUGAUGUUUAAAAACCCUCUCAAUCUGAUAUCAAAGUGCCCUCUGCGCAAAGGUUUAGCGCGUUCAUCAGCGGUGAGUUUAACAACACUCAACUGCAGGUAAAACGGCAUUCAGAGGUGAGUUUGACCAAAGCAACGCUCAACUGCAGGUAAAAGCAUUAAAAUGUGAGUUUAACAACGCUCCAAGGCGCGUGCAAGUAAGCAGUUUAAGCGUUUUAUUACAACCCAUUCUCACUCCUAAAGCGCCAAAAACUGACGCCUCUAGCGUCACUAUGAAGACGCCAAAGGCGCCCCUCGGCGUCGCUAUAUCGACGCACUAGGACCUACAUUGCUUUAAGUGGGAAACUUUUGGCGUCAGUACUCAGACGCGAAGGGCAUGAGAUGUUUAUCGCUAUGAAAUCACGUUCAAGAAGUCUCAUUCAGCGCACAUCGCGAUAUUUGCCAUCAGUUUACAUGUGCCACAGGUUGGGUGAGUAGUCGUAAAUACGCUGAUUUAAUGCCUGUUAUAAAAUGUAUUCCGUCUUCUUUAUUAAUCAGAAUAGCGCUGUAUGUUUCCUCGCUGUAUUAUAUCGGUCAUCCGAGGCUGUCUUUGAGUUUCAUUGCGUUUAACUAAAUGAAGACAGCUGCUAACUAGAGUGAUUAAACUCUAUCUGUCACGUGACGUGCCAUAGACCUUCGAUCCGUUUUAUAUUCAUAUCAGGUUCAAAGAUGUAAGUUGUAUUUGUAGUAAAAUCAUGGUAACCACGACACGUACAAUAGUAACAAAUGAAAUUUGAAGUUAAAAACCCAGGAACGGGACAUUUACCAUGUUUUUUUACCACAGUAACUGUAGUUUUACUAUGGUAUAGUAAUAGCACAAUAAUCACCAAACUAACUAUGGUUGUACAACUGUAAUGGUAGUGUUUUGAUGUGCUUUUAUAUGACAGAUAUCACAGUAAUCACAUUUACUGCACCAUGUU
ensembl:lncRNA